AACGAACGCUGGCGGCAUGCCUAACACAUGCAAGUCGAACGAGACCUUCGGGUCUAGUGGCGCACGGGUGCGUAACGCGUGGUAACCUGCCCUUAGGUUCGGAAUAACUCCCCGAAAGGGGUGCUAAUACCGGUUAAUGUCUUCGGACCAAAGAUUUAUCGCCUUUGGAUGGGCCCGCGUUGGUUUAGCUAGUUGGUAGGGUAAAAGCCUACCAAGGCGACGAUCCAUAGCUGGUCUGAGAGGAUGAUCAGCCACACUGGGACUGAGACACGGCCCAGACUCCUACGGGAGGCAGCAGUGGGGAAUAUUGGACGAUGGGCGAAAGCCUGAUACAGCAAUGCCGCGUGAGUGAUGAAGGCCUUAGGGUUGUAAAGCUCUUUUACCCGGGAUGAUAAUGACAGUACCGGGAGAAUAAGCUCCGGCUAACUCCGUG
rnacentral:rRNA from 1 species